rnacentral:rRNA from 1 species
UACGUAGGGUCCGAGCGUUGUCCGGAAUUACUGGGCGUAAAGAGCUCGUAGGUGGUUUGUCGCGUUGUCCGUGAAAACUCACAGCUCAACUGUGGGCGUGCGGGCGAUACGGGGCAGACUGGAGUACUGCAGGGGAGACUGGAAUUCCUGGUGUAGCGGUGGAAUGCGCAGAUAUCAGGAGGAACACCGGUGGCGAAGGCGGGUCUCUGGACAGUUCCGUGACGCUGAGGCACGAAGGCCAGGGGAGCAAACGGG